CAGUGAAGACCCUGGAGUGUCCAGAGGACCCCCACAUCCUUGCCCCUUUCUUGGCCCCGCCCCUAUUCUAGAUCGCAUCCUUCACGCUGUUCCAUUCCUGUGCACUCUAAACCCCGCCCCUCAAGGCCAUCUUCUGCCAGAGGAAACCUGGUCUCGUCCGUCCGUUCCCCUGGACCUCGAUGCUUUUUAAACGAUUCUCCUUCUUCAUCUUGCAUUUGCACUCAACAAGGCCAGUCAUCUUAGGAGCCCUACCGACCGGCAUCGGUUGUACUGUGCAGUGAUUCGAGAGCAAAUCAAAGAAGCUAGGGCGUCUCGAGGAUUCCUGCGCUGCGCUUGGCGAUGACGUAGCUAGGACAGGCAGGUGACUGGUCCGAGAUAACGGCAAAUAAUGGACUAUAGACUAAUAAGGACUAUGGCUACUGGCAGCCAGAAUGAGAGUGGGAUACGUGUUAAGAAUUUUCUGAGUUAGUCACUACGAUGGUACUCAAGCAUCUCCAAAUGUUAGUUAUUAACAUUCUGCGAAAAUGGGUAGGGGCGCGGAAGGAUUCGCUAAGUGGCACACGUUGCCAGAAAGCCACAUUUCUGUGAUAUAGUUCGCAUUGUUAAGAUGCUUUGCAGAGGGACUUAGACAUAUGAUCUUGGACAAGUCACAGCUCUUCCCUCAGUUUCCUUAUCUGGAAAACUGUGAUGCUUGCACCAAGACCAGAAUGGACUUGGGAGGGGUGUUUUCCUGGAUGGCAGCUCAACCUACCUGCCCCCUCCACUGAGUAAUCAAAGUAAUAGCAGAUGGUGGACUGAAGAGGGAAAAUUGUCCCUGUGACUCUUUAGGACUCCCACCCUGUGUCUAUGUAUCAGUCCCACUGGAGGACAAUUUGUCCUCCUGAUCUCCCCUUCUCUCCCCUUCCCUUUUCCUGCUGGGCUGUAUGCUGAAGCUGGAAGGAAACCUUCUGGAGUUCUGCAUCACUGACUAGAAAAUAGAUUGACAGUCCCAAAAUCCAGUAGCCAGACCCUCCGACCCUCUUGCAAAUGCCACUUUCAGUCACCUGCAUUGCCUUAAGGGUUAUGGGUCUAAAUCUACACACACUAAAAAUAUAUAAUGAUACAUAAUAAAGAAAUUCUGGGGUGUGAUACCUACAGAGCAAUAUAUUAAACAGUGAAGUCUCAUUUCCUGUACAACAGGAGUCAGUAUAUUUUAUAAAGGGCUAGGUUGCAAAUAAAGGCAUUGCGGACACAUGUAAUUUUUUUUUAAGACAGGGUUUCUCUGUAUAACAACCCUGGCUGUCCUGGAAUUUGUUCUGUAGACUAGACCAGCCUCGAACUCACAGAGAUCCACCUGCCUCUACCUCCUGAGUGCUGGGUUUAAUGGUAUGUGCCACCAUGCCCAGCAUAUUUUAUUUAUUUUGCCUGUCUGUUUGCCAGUGCCUAAGAAGGCCAGAAAGGGGCAUUGGAUCCUCCAAGAGCUGACGUUACCAGUGUUUGAGCCAUUUGAUGUUGGUGCUAGGAUCCAAACACUCAGCCAGCUCUCUACCUCAAUAACCAUUUAAAAACCUGGUUCUCCACAUGUGGGUCACGACCUCUUUGCCAAACCUCUGUCUCUAAAAAUAUUUACAUUACAAUCCAUAGCUGUAGCAAAAUUACAGUUAUGGAUUGACAACAAAAAUGAUUUUAUGUUUGGGGCGCCACAACAUUAGGAACUGUAUUAAAAGGAAGAUUGAGAACUGCUGACUUAAAACUAUAAAAAUCAGCCCACAGUAUGGCUUUUAAUGAUCUCUGCUGCAGAGUUCUUGGUUUCCUUCAUCUGGCUGAUUUCUUUUACAGAAUGAAGGCAAAUAUGCUGGAUAGAUUUAUGUCAACUUGACACGAGCUGAAGUCAUCUGAGAGGAGGGAAGCUCAAUCAGGAAAAUGCCUUCAUCAAGCUGGGCAUGGUAGCAUAUGCCUUCAACCCCAAUACUGUCUGUCUGUAUAUUGUGACAGACAUGACCAUGUUGUUUGGGGAGGAUUGUAGAAGGACUUUGCAACUUGGGGCAAGGAAAGCCAUUAGUGUUCAGUGCUUGCUGAGCUGUCCUGUAGGAGCUUGGAAAAUAAGAAUGUUGUGUUGAGGGAAAUGCAAAAGACGGAGGCCUGGUGUGUGGAGUUUCGGAGGGAAGGUUUUUAUUUUUUAUUUAUUUAUUUUUUGAGACAUGGUUUCUCUGUGUAGCCCUGACUGUUCAGAGGGAAGUUUAAAGACUCUAUCUGGGCCAUUUGUUAUUUUGAAUUGAGAUCCUGUGGUUCUGGUCAGCUUGAGCUGAAGAAUCAGCUGUGAUUAACAAGAUACCAGAACUACUAAGGUGAAACCGUGGCUUUGCUGGGCUACUCAAGGCUGGCCAGCUGGAGGUGAGGAACUAGAGGUGUGGGAAGUGUUUCUUCAGAGCCAGCACACAGAAGCUGUGGUCAAGGUUGUACCUUGUGCUUACAGCUGAACUUGAUAGCGUAAGCAUCACUCAGGUGGUACUGGUUUUGAAGGCAUGAUGGUGUCAUGGAGAGCAGCUGAGGCUUGGCACUGUGAGAGGCCGGGAGAGGCCAUUGGUGAAGGUGCAGCCUCAGCGGCAGUUGAAGGCCCAGGACUGAAGGGAUCGUGUCAAGAAGCUGAGGCCUAGCACCAUGAGGAGAGGCUAGGAGAGGCUACUGGUGAAAGUGCAGCCCAGUAGCAGCAAGGGACCCCAGCAUUUUGGAGAUGCCGGUGCCAUGGGAUGACCACCAAGAACAGCAGCGGAGUGGAGUGGAGCCAGCCAGAGCCUAGAAGACUGUGUGCCCUGCAGAGGGCGGAGCCAGAGGAAUGACCCGAGCUCCUUGGAGGAACACACAGGAUCUGCUGGGCAUGAGAUCCAGAGGCUUAUUCAUGCUGGACAAGUGCAUUGCUACUGAACUACACCCUCAACCCUGACACAGAAGCUCUUUUACUGCAAAGAUGUACUGCUCCGUCUGAAAGUCAAGGUUGCUGCUACCACGUGGGUUCCUGCAGCAAGGAAUGUGCUGACAUCCUUCAUCUGCAGGACAUCAAGGACCCUGGACACUCUAUGAAGAAGAAUGAAAUGGGAUACUAUUCUGCCCAAAAGAGGAAGUCACAUCAUUUGCAGCAAAAUGCAUGGAACUGGAGGCCAUUGUGCCAGGUAAUGAAAGGUACCAAGAUUUUCUGGCACUCUAAGUGGCUACGUCCUCCGGCUCAUGUUCCUAUUGGCUGCUGGUUCUGCACCUGCGCAGAGACUCUAGGGUUGGCAGUCCGUGUUUCCGAUCCAGAACUUCCGUUGCUGUUGGUGAAAGUAGGUUCGAAUCAUGUCUAACAAAGUCCAAAUUGCAGCCCUGUUAAGAAGCUGGCAUUACUGGCUUGUACUAAGGUUUGGUACAAAGUGCAUCCGGUAAUCAUUUUCAGUCUCUUAGACCUGUGCCGUUUCAUUUUGAAUUGAAUUUCAGACACACCGUUCUCAACAAUGUUAAGAAAACUCUCAGACUGGACAUGGUAGGUCCUGGUUUUUUGUUUGUUUUGUUUUUACGA